rnacentral:lncRNA from 1 species
GUUCGGAAUCCAGAGAAAGCUCAAUGAAACCGCUUACGCCCUUAAUCAAUCGAUAAGGCAGUCGUCGGAUUUCCACAGCUAUUCUAAGAGCGUGCUGAAUCCAACCGUUGCACGUUCCCCCUUUGGCUAAACCACCACUUCAGGCUAACCCUUUUGCCUGGCUGGCACUUACUCAAGUUAGAGUUUUGCGCUCUCUCAAAACGCCUGCACGCCUGCGAGUGUUCUCCCCGGUCCUACAAAUUGAGCUUCCGAAAGGGGUGCUUGCUGGAGCAGCUCAACGAGAUGUGGGUUCAAUUCUCGCUAUGCCUCAUCCUAGUAGGUGUCUGCGCCAUUGGGCCAGCUAAACUUGCUCUGAUCUAGUGUGCGUCCGCUCCUGUUCGGGCUCACUCAGCAGAAAGCUAACUCUCUUCUCCUGCUUUAGCUUGAGCCCACCCGGACAGACUCUGGCAUGACACCCGUCACCAUACAUAGGUAA